UGGGAUAUUUCAGCCAGUCAAUCUGAUAGUUUUCAUAUCCCAAAGCCUCCAAUUGGCAAGCACUAUUGACAUUGGAUGGCAUGAUCGUAGUCAUAUAUAGUCUUUUUGCUGACUGGAAAGGUUUUCACUGUACGAAGCAUUUCACGGUACACGCAACAGUAAACUAAACUCAAGCUCAAAAGAAGGUGCAUUGUUGACUGAGUGAAGACUUUGAAGAGUACCAAUUUGCCCAAAGUGUGAAGUCUCUUUUCCUCCUUCAAUAAUUGUAUUGCGAAACUGUGGAUAAAAUUUACAAACGGAGCCUAGUCAGGGCAUACAUUUUGAGAAGACAUUGUGAAAGGAAAGAAAUUCGACAAAGAAUUGGCCAGAAAAUCUUGAACGUGAUUCCAUCGGAAGCAGAUGGCUACAAACGAUGACAACGCUGCUGUUAAUGUUGGGGAAAACAGUGUGGCAUCAGAUGCAACUGUUCCCAGAGAGGUGGCUACAAACGAUGCCAACGCUGCUGUUAAUGUUGGGGAAAACAGUGUGGCAUCUGGUGCAACUGUUCCCAGAGAGGUGGCUACAAACGAUGACAAUGCUGCUGUUAAUAAUGGGGAAAACAGUGUGGCAUCUAGUGCAACUGUUCCCAGAGUGAUGGAGCGUGAGUUCGAAAAAACAACAGAGGAGUGUGAGGAGAAAAAGAGGGGGAGAGAGAAGAGAGAGAAAACAGAGCUAUGGAAUUCGAGAAAGAGAAAGAGAGAGAGCUACGAGGGAAGAGAGAGAGGCGGGAACGAGUGCAGGCAGGCGAUAGAGAUCGGAGAGAAGAAACGGAGAAAAGAGAUCGACGAGAGCAAUGAGAGAGAGAUGAGCGAGGAAACAGAACAAUGGAAUUUGAGAAAGAGAGAGAGCAACGAGGGAUACGAGAGUGACAGCAAUGAGAGCAGUCAGACGAGUGAGGGGAAAGAGGAGAGAGAUGAGAGAGAGGAAGAAGAAGAGAGAGAUGAGAGAGAGGAAGAAGGAGAGAGAGAGGGAUGACAUUCAAACUCAACCAAGGGUAGCAACAACUGAAAGCCAAGAGAGACAGAUUCUCACAAAGAAAAAAACAUAGAAUGGAAUGAAAUACUUUAUUGUCAUGUGACCAGGCACAGUGAAAUUAUUUGCUUGCAUACCCAAUGUGUACAAAUCUCAAGAAGGGUCUCGACCCGAAACACCACCAAUUCCUUCCCUGCAGAGAUGCUGCCUGGCCCAUUACGUUACUCCAGCAUUUUGUGUCUACCUUCAAUGUACACAAAUCGCAGCCACCUACGGCACUGACAAACUUACAAAGUACACCGGCUCCUCCUUUUAUUCUACUUCCACCCCCUCCCCUCCCAGAGAGCAGUUCCCCCACACUGUGUCCCCAUUGUCAUUUGUUCCCCCCUCCUCCCCAAUUCAGAAUCAGAAUCAGAAUUAAUCAGAUUUUAUUCGCCAAGAAUGUUUUGCACCAUAUACGAGGAAUUUCACUGGCCAGGUCAGUCAUACAAUUGAAAGCAACAGACUCAAAAACACAUUUUAACGUGAACAUCCACCACAGUGACUCCUACACAUUCCUCACUGUGAUGGAAGGCAAAAUAAAGUUCAAGUCCUUCCUAUUGUUUUUCCUCGGUCGGGGGCCUCGAGCCCCCGUUGACAGGAUGGUCUUGACUCCCGUAGUUGUCGGUGUUCGGUCCCUCCGCGUCGAGGCGAUCAGCUCCUGCAUCGGGUGGUUGUCAGUUCCCCUGCGCCGGGCGAUCAAACCUCGUGUCGGAGCUAGUUGAACGUUCUACGGCGUUAGAGCUCCCGACUAGCCUCUCCCGAGACUGCGAGCCCUUGAUGGUAAGUCUGCAGACCGCAGUGGGAGCAAUCCCAGGCAAGGGAUCCGCUCCGAUGUUAAGUCCGCGCCCCGCAAUGGGGCUCACGACAGUCCGAUGUGGCUCCCAGCACCAGCGAUGGUACGCUGCAGAGCCUGGAGAAUGUGAUUGGAAAAUCAAUCACAUCUCUGGGAAGGUACGAAAAAGUUUCCCCCGAUCCUCCCCCCUCCCACCACAUAAAACAAGCCAAAGUACAUUAAAACAAACUCUUAACAGAUGCUAAAAUUAACAAAAGAUGAAAAAACAAACGGAUUGCCGGCAGGUCUAGCCAUCUCCCCAGUGCCCAUGGUGGUCUUGUAGUCCAUUGAACAAUUGUCAAUUUUUCUUCCCCACCUCCCUCACUGUGAUCCCCCCAUGGGAGACUAUAUAGUAUAUAGAAUUUUUAUAUUUAACGAAUGAAAUAAUUUCAAGUUAUGUAUUACUCUGUUAUGGCCAAAUCCAGGUGUAUGUGUGAACGAGGUAACAAAGCCUGUAUUAAAACCACUCAAUUUCCAGCUAUGUUGCAUCAAUGCUGGAUGCUUCAGACAAUAUAUUGCGCUACAAUGCUGAGAAUUAUAUUCUGUAUCCUGUCUCUUCCCCUUUUUUAUACGUAUUAUGCUUACAUUUAGCUUGAUUGUAUACAUGAAUAAUAUUUUCUGAUUUAAUUGGAUUGCAUGCAAAAGAAAGAUUUUUCACUGUAGCCCAUUAAGUACAU